UUCACUAACUCCACGAGAAGAGCAAGUAGGAGAACUCCAUGCAUUUUCUGCCAUUAUUCAAGAAAAAUCCUCAUCAGCCAUCGUCCCCAUCAAAAGCAAGCAAACAACUCAAGAGGAAAACCAACAAGAACAGAUCAUUUCAAAAGGCUUCGAGCAUCAAGGGGAUUAGCACUGCUUUCCCAAGACAGGUUAUGUGAUUAUGAUCUUCAGGCUUUGCCUAUCCAGGUUGAGCAGUUGAUGGAAUGGAAUGAUGUUGAGCGGGUGUUCCUUUGACAUUUCAAGAAAUGUAACCUUGAGUAUACAUCUUCAUAUGUAUAUCUCACACGUUUUCCGCUGCAAAACACUUUGAUUAGGAUAACUUUAUGUUAUGAAAUUGUGACACGUGUUAUUGGGUAAACCACCUUAAUCAGUUCUCAUUUAUGUGUAUGUGUUAUAAGUAUCCAAAUAAUCAUAUAUGAUCCUAGCAUUUUAUCUAUGAGUGACAUUUUCAUAUACUUUAAUGUUAAGUAAUUGUCCAUUUCCAUUUCUUAUUGUUCACCCCAAGUCAUAACCCCGGUUAACCCGUCAUUGGGAUAGUGGGCUGUGACAGAGUGGUAUCAGAGCGGUUCGUUCGCUCUGACCCUAGAAACCUUAUUCUAAAGAGUCGAGUCUAGUUUGAUUCUUUAGACUUACAUGGGUUCAUAUGGCACCGCUCAACACUCCAUUGCAUCGUGCUCAAUCAAGGAAAGAAGGUAACUGCAGUUUCAACGUUUUAAAGAUGUUAAUGUUCUAAAAUGCUUCAUGAAUAUGUUUAUGUGAAGAGCAUGUUAUGAUGAAAUGUUGAAUGUUUUGCCUUUCAUGGCAUAUUUUCGCAGUCUAUGAUGUUAUGAUCAGAUGAAUGAUAGAAAAGUGACAUAUGUUUUCCC